GUGUGUGUGUGUCAGGGUGCUUCAAUGUGGGCUAUGUUACACAGUCAGAUUCCAAUAUAUGCUGUCGCAGGGCCCGGUGGCACAAUCAACAUGUGAUAAUCCUUUGUACUUCAAGCUGAAAAACAGUGUCAGCAAGCUACCCUCUCUCAAGAAGAAAAAUGCUGUUGCGAUUUAGACGGAUUAUAUAGCUGAAGAAGUUGAACGUCAGAAAUCUACUAAUGAUAUGGCAUGAUUAGCUUGGUAGGAAUUUGUACGAAGGCAGUGAUAGCGUAUCAACAGAAAGUCAAUAGCUCAGCAUGUGCAGCAAAUAGGCUAAAGCUGGAUAAAGAAAUGGAGAAGAAGAGGAAGAUAUAUUAUCCAAAGUUUCUCAAUUGUGAGAGACGUGUAUGCGUAUGGGCUUGAAAUGCCCUAAUCUAAGGAGUCAGAUCUCGAGGCAGAAGCUGAAUUCCUGGAGGUUGCAGUCGAACACGACAUUAAGCAUGCAACAAGAAAAUAGACUGAAGCAGAUGGGUGCAAUGGUGAGGAACGUUUGUUUGUAUCUAGAGGGAAAUGUUAGCAAAGACUAAGGUGGGGGAAAUCAGAAAAUGUCUAUAGGGCAGUUAUCUGAUCUGCUCUCAAGAUCUACAGCACAAGGCUGCUCUCAAACUAGUGUAGAAAGCAACAGGAAGCAGAACUUGAUGCUUUGUGUUAUUUGUCUUUUUUGUUAGUUUAAAUAGAUGGUUUACUAUUUUGUUGGUAUUGUAUUUUUAUGCUUGGUGUUAUUUGUGCCUUCAGUAUUUUGAAAGACUUAAAUAGACUGUUAACUGCUCUAUUGGUAUUGU